GAUAUUGAUAAAUCAAUUUGGUUGGGCUAUAAAUAAGAGUGAUAGUCUGAUGGAGGAGAACAAAUUGAAGAAAUCAAAAUCUCAAAAUCAUGAAAGGAUUUAUGAUAAUUAUUGUAUGCCUUCUCUGUGCAAACAUUUUCUUCUCUUCUUCUUUCAUUGUGGCUCGAGAAUUGAAGGAAAUAAAAGACCCAGGUAAAAGAUCUAAUGUUCCUUUUAAUUGCGGCCGAGGCAAGCGAUACUGCAUUCCUGGUUCACCUCCAUGCGGAAUUUACAAACGCUGCGGGCCACGAGCACCACCUCCUCCUCCGAAAAAGUGAUGUGGGUCAUCCAACUCAACAGAGAAUAAAAAUGUUAUCAACGAUCAAAGGGCUUGAUUGGUAUCCGCUACCCUUGCUCUAUUGCAGACGUGGGUUUAGCUAUUAUUGAUAUAGUUAUAAUAUCCAAGAAUCACCCAUAAUAUUAAGAGGCAAAAGUGUUUAAAAGUCAUUAUUAUAUUCUUCUGUAUUUUAUGGUAUUUGUGUUUUGCUGAAUAGCAUAAUUUAAUAGAAAGUGUUUUUAUUUCUUAUAA